rnacentral:misc_RNA from 1 species
GAAGAAGAAGAAGAAGAAGAAGGUCCAGACAUGUUUGGCCUUUGUGUUUGAGACACAGAAGAAAGUCAAGAAAUUGUUUAUGGGUUGGUAUAAUUCGUUUUAUGUAAACAGGUUUAAUAAUCUUGACUUUUGGGUAUCGAUCGAGAGAGAGAGAGAGGGCAAGAGAAUGUGCAUAUGGUAGCGGUGAAGUUAGUACAAGAAAGGGACGCGAAAGACCCUUUGCGAUUGCAAGCAAAAACAAGAGAGAGAGAGAGAGAG